CACGGUUUGAAAUGUUGAUAGCCUCAUAAAGGGAGUAUGGGCAGUGGUACUUGAUAAUCUUAGAGAAUUCUAAGAUGCAGUGAUAUUUGUACAAGUUUUGAGCCGUAAGAAUUUUUAAUCUAUUAAAAAUGGGUUUUGUAUGCUCCUUUUCAAAGUGUUUAUGCGUUAUAUAUUUUCAAAUAUAGUUCAGAAGGUAUCGAGUGCCGAAUUCUGCAGAUUGCACCAGUCAUAGAUCGCAGUUUUUUACGGAUGUAGUGCAUGUGGGCAAUCCAGUUUAGCUUACUAUCUAUAACAACACCUAAGAAUUUGGUAUCCUUGACUUUAGUAAUAACCUUACCAUUGAUGAAUAUUGAUCUAGAUUCAUCUAGCAGGAUAGCAAAUGGUCUGGUCCGUGCACAGGUGUCAUCAUAUUCAGA